GGGGACGCCGCCGGAGAGGAGCCGGCCAUACGCCGUGCUGCGCGGGCAGAACCUAGUGCUCAUGGGAAGCAUCUUCAGUAUCCUGCUGGUCACUAUGAUACUGAUGGCCAUUUGCGUCUACAAGCCCCUUCGCCGUCGCUAACUGGAGAGCAAGGGAAUCUUGUGAAGAUGGCAAGCCAUGGUGCAUGGGGACCCCUGGAACAACUGGGAUUAGAAACCAAGUACUUGAAAGCCACACAUGCUCUGAAGCUAAGCAGAAGGACUAUACCACAAGAGCUUCCACUUAUAAUCAGAUGAUUUAGAGAAACCAACUACUAACAAGUAUUUUUUCCUCACACUGUAUAUAAAUAAUCAGAGAUUUUUGCUUUUGGUGUGAUUAUUAGAAGGAGGACAGGCCUGAACUAGGGUAUACUGUAAAGAAAAAGUUUCCUUUUGGUAGUGUCUGUAAGAGCCUCUUGGAAGGGAUCAAUUAUGUCUGCAUAUGUUAAUAAGGAGAAGUCAAAACUAACUUUUCUUAGGAUUCCUGCUCUGUCAGAUGGAAAUGAACAAAAACAGCAAAUUUCUUUUUAAUGACAAACUCAAGGUUUACCCAGUAAAACUUAAGUGCAGAGUCUUUCUGAGGAAGCAAGACAGUUGCCAUCAGCUAGUUCAUUCUCAACUUUGCACUCAUUAACACUUCCCUUUACAGGCUUCCUUGUAACAUAACUAGGCCUAGAAGACACUAACGUUUAACUGAAAAUGUUGUGCUUUUGAAUGUGCUUUGUUUUCAUUUAAAGCACUGAGGCAUAUUUAUUAGCUAUUGGAAAAAGCCAAGACUGAAAAGUCCCACUAGAAAAAAGGUGCUCAAAUGGGCACAGUGACGAUGCUCAGAAGUCAAGUGUAAUACUUUGUGAUCUGGAAAGUUUUACCUUAAAAAUAGCUACGGAGUUUUCAAUUUAAAAUCUAAAGCCAGACUCGACAAACUGUGCCCAAACAAUUCCUUGUAGAAUACUUUUUUUUUUUUUUAAAAAAAAACUGGAUUUCAAGCCACAGCCAGUCCUGGAUUGGAAGGGUGAAUAAAGGCUUCUAAAGGGCAGCUCAGCAUGUCCACUGGGUAUAGUGGACAUGAGUGUUUACACAAACUAAAUCUUAACUCUUUGUAAAUGCUGCUAUUAUUUUGCACUGUUAAGAGUGAACUGGAAGGUUUUUUGUUUUCUGUUUUUCAGAAAUGACAAUUCUGCAAGUACAAAAGUGUCUUUAGUAUUUAUUUUAGAACGACUAGAUUUCAUUAUUUUGAUUUGUCAAAAAAUGUUCGUGUCCCAUUCAAACGUAACACUGGCUUUUUGUAACCAGGGUCUGAUGUGGUAGUUUCUCUGUGUAUGUAUAUAUAAAUGCACACGCAUACAUUUGCACACCAGGCCUUGGUGAUGUAUGACUUGAUCUAUUUUGCUUUGUUUGUUGUCCGUAACAUCAAUUCGUUUAGAUGACCAAUUUUAUGUUUUCGAGCAAAAUAUGAAUUAAACUGAAAUCCUACAGUAUAA